UAAUGCGACUUUCUCCAGCUCCACAGGAAGUAAUGCUGCUGCCUCAGAUGAUGCUUUUGCCAACUUUGCAGACUUUAGUCCAAGCAAGUUUGAUGAUAAAGGAGCCUGGAGUUGAGAAGUCAAAACUUGAUGUUUACAUGAGGGACCAUGAGAUUGGGGUUUGGGCAAUGGAGGGGUGUUCACUCUUAGGGGUGUGGUUUUGAGUGCUAGAUGAUUAUUUCUUCCUGUGACGUCACAACAAACCUUCACAACUGUUGUAGAGUUCUCUCAUUGAUUUGUUAUCAAAUAUAAACUGCUGAUGGAUGUUCUGUUAACACAAGGACGGCUAUUAUCAACUUAAGACAUGAUUUAGUUCCCACAGUAUAGAUAACCAGAGGAGAAAACAUGAGGAGAUAUAUGAGUUACAUUCCUUGAUGUUUUUUGUGAAGAUGUCAGUCACUGUUGUAUAAUAAAGCAACAAAAACCUUGUAAAGUGCAAUACUCUAGUGAUAUGUUAGAACUAUUAUUGUAUUUAUUUUUAGAAAAAGAAUGUAAGCUAGUUUAACUUAGGUUUGGUUUGGUGUGUGAUGAAAUUUUCUGAUUUUACACCAGUCACAGAUACAUUACAAACUCAUCACACUUGUGCAAUCAUAGUUUUAUCUCGAAGGUUUUUAGUUUUACAUGUAUGUGUAGUUAUUAAUAUAUAAUAUUAUGAAAUCUUGUCAAUAAAAUGUGCCAAUCAUUUUAAGAA